rnacentral:lncRNA from 1 species
CGAGGGCUGAGGGAACGAAACCAAAUGGAUGAUAAUCUUAAUAAUAUCAAGAUGGCAAUUUCUCCAUUUCAAGGAAAAACUGACCUUGAAGCCCAUUUGGAGUGGGAAAAGAAAAUAGAAAAGAAUAAAUGAAAGAUUGAGGAAAAAACAAUAGAGAAAAACAAAGAGUUUGAGGUAAAAACACAAAAGGAAAUUGAAAGAAAAGAAAGACAAGAGUUGUUAAUAAGAGAAAAUGAGCUAAAAAUAAAAGAAAUUGAGAGAAGAAAAAAAGAAAUGUGAGAAAAAGAAAUUGAAAGAAAAAAAGAGCUUGAAAGAAAAGAGAAAGAAAAAGAAUGCGAGCAAGAAAAGAACCUUGAAAAAGAGUUUGAGAAUGAAAAAGAGGAAAAUGAGAAUGAAAGAAAAUAAAAUGAGAAAGAUGAAUGUUUCAUUGAGAUUGAAGAAAUAAAAGAAAGUGUGAAUCAAAUUAGUGUCGUUGUUGAAAAAGAAAGUGAAAUAAAGAGUGAGAGUGAGUUUUCAAAAAU